UGAGAAAGAGGGAUCGUCGCCGGCGGGCAACCGCGGGAGGAAAGUCCGGACACCACAUGGCACCGUAGCGGGUAACGCCCGUCCACCGCGAGGUGAGGACAAGUGCAACAGAAAGAAUGUACAGGGGUUUGAAGGCGUUGGGGGUAGCGAAAGCCGGCCCAAUCCUGAGUUCGCAAGAACACCUGCUGUAGUGAAAACAGGUAAACUCUACGGGGUGCAAAUCCAAAUAGGCCUAUGUCUUCUCGCAAGAGGAGUUAGAGCGGCCAGCUCAAAUUAGGCGGGUAGGGUGCUUGAGCUUGUUAGUAAUGGCAAGACUAGAUGAAUGACGAUUCUCGACAGAAUCCGGCUUAAACUCUCUCUCAGGUU
rnacentral:RNase_P_RNA from 3 species